GGGGGUUGAAAGCUCCGGCGAAGAAGGAUGAGCCCGCGGCCUAUCAGCUUGUUGGUGGGGUAAUGGCCCACCAAGGCGACGACGGGUAGCCGGCCUGAGAGGGCGACCGGCCACACUGGGACUGAGACACGGCCCAGACUCCUACGGGAGGCAGCAGUGGGGAAUAUUGCACAAUGGGCGAAAGCCUGAUGCAGCGACGCCGCGUGAGGGAUGACGGCCUUCGGGUUGUAAACCUCUUUCAGCAGGGAAGAAGCGAGAGUGACGGUACCUGCAGAAGAAGCGCCGGCUAACUACGUGCCAGCAGCCGCGGUAAUACGUAGGGCGCAAGCGUUGUCCGGAAUUAUUGGGCGUAAAGAGCUCGUAGGCGGCUUGUCACGUCGGAUGUGAAAGCCCGAGGCUUAACCUCGGGUCUGCAUUCGAUACGGGCUAGCUAGAGUGUGGUAGGGGAGAUCGGAAUUCCUGGUGUAGCGGUGAAAUGCGCAGAUAUCAGGAGGAACACCGGUGGCGAAGGCGGAUCUCUGGGCCAUUACUGACGCUGAGGAGCGAAAGCGUGGGGAGCGAACAGGAUUAGAUACCCUGGUAGUCCACGCCGUAAACGUUGGGGAACUAGGUGUUGGCGACAUUCCACGUCGUCGGGUGCCGCAGCUAACGCAUUAAGUUCCCCGCCUGGG
rnacentral:rRNA from 1 species